AAUCCCGGGCGUAGCCCGGGUUAAUCCCUAGUCUAUAUCUAUACUAUACUAAAAGUUGGAUAUCCUCCAAUUCUAAACUAUCCACGUCAGAUUAAAUAUUCAAGCCAAUCAGUGUUUGCCAGCUCAUUCUAAUAUACAAAUCAGCUAAUAUUCAUAUCUUUGUUUCGACUCUUCGUCUCUCUCAUCUUCCAGCAUGAAACUCUAACCUUAUCUCAGUUUCCCUUUACCCAUUAAAAAACGGGAAAAAACUGGCGGCUGCGACUCCUAGCAAACACAAUAGCCAAUUCAAAGACGGAUCAUCAUCGACGGCUCCGACUUCUCUCUUUUCUCAACGACGUUCUUCCUGGACGUGAAUAUGAAGAAACCCUAAACAUUGUGACAGGAGGCCUCCUAAUUGGCCUUGAGAUGCUGUUGAAGCAGAAGCGCAGAAGAGAGAAGUUGCUGCUGGUGACUUAUCUCCCAGUUAAUCACAUGUAAGACACAAAGUAAAGGUCCGCAGAAAAAUACGAUAUCCUGAACUUCAGAAAUAGUACGAAAAGGUUCACAACUACUCAUCAGAAAUCCAGGAAAUUGGUAAAUAUGAUUAGGAGAGUAAAGUAUUUCGAGAUCCAACCAGAGAGCCACAGACCGUUUUCUAUGGUGUGGCUCUGCCGAUGGAAAUCUUGUGGUCAUUUUCCCAUGUGUAAGCUCUCAUGUAUUUGGUGAAAAUAUGCGCUUUGGUGGACUCUUUUGCUGCAAAACGGUGGGGUUUUUAAGAUUGCUUGGAACAUGUCAAGAAACCUUUUGUUAUUGACUACUAGAUUUU